rnacentral:rRNA from 1 species
AUUGAACGCUGGCGGCAGGCCUAACACAUGCAAGUCGAGCUGAUGAAGGGAGCUUGCUCCUGGAUUCAGCGGCGGACGGGUGAGUAAUGCCUAGGAAUCUGCCUGGUAGUGGGGGAUAACGUCCGGAAACGGGCGCUAAUACCGCAUACGUCCUGAGGGAGAAAGUGGGGGAUCUUCGGACCUCACGCUAUCAGAUGAGCCUAGGUCGGAUUAGCUAGUUGGUGGGGUAAAGGCCUACCAAGGCGACGAUCCGUAACUGGUCUGAGAGGAUGAUCAGUCACACUGGAACUGAGACACGGUCCAGACUCCUACGGGAGGCAGCAGUGGGGAAUAUUGGACAAUGGGCGAAAGCCUGAUCCAGCCAUGCCGCGUGUGUGAAGAAGGUCUUCGGAUUGUAAAGCACGUUAAGUUGGGAGGAAGGGCAGUAAGUUAAUACCUUGCUGUUUUGACGUUACCAACAGAAUAAGCACCGGCUAACUUCGUG